UCUUACUGGAGGUUUUCCAGAACCCCCGCAGUAUACUUCAAAUUAAUUCCAAUUCUUUUCACUCCCCGCUCUAUACAUUUUCCCUCUGGCGCUUUUUUGUUUUUUAUUUUUAUUUUCCCACUUUUUUAUUUUCAUUUCUUUUCCCACGUUUUUAUUUUCAUUAUAUUUUUCUAAACCACAAAAAGAAAAAAAAAAAAAAAAAGAGAGAACAUUGUUGUUAGUAACACGCAGAAGAACAACCGCUCCUCAAAAGUCUUUCGGUCGGCGCCGCUUCAUGACUGGUUAGACGAAUAAGUGCAUAUAGUGUUGGUUGAUUGAAAGUUGAUUGUUAGAGGAAGGGAGUAACAACAAGAAAGAAUCAUUUGAGUUUAGGACUGGUUGUUGCAGCUCUCACUUGGACUGUCCUGUUGGUUUUGGUUUUUUCUGUAGUGCCUCAUGGACUUAGUUGUUCCAUUGUAUGUUUCUAACCCAUGUAGCACUUCUUGUGCUUGUGGGCUUUAUUAAUAAAUCUUUAGCUUCUAAAAAAAAACCCUUUGAACCCUUCUAAUUCCCAAAGGUCAAAGCUCAAUCAAUCUAUGUUUUGGCAUAGAGAAUCCUUAUAGCAUAUAUUGUGUCAAAUUUAGGCCACUAAUUGAGUAUCUUGCCCUUUUUG